GAUGAAGAACGUAGCGAAAUGCGAUAAGUAAUGCGAAUUGCAGAAUUCAGUGAAUCAUCGAGUCUUUGAACGCACAUUGCGCCCCCUGGUAUUCCGGGGGGCAUGCCUGUCCGAGCGUCAUUGCUGCCCUCAAGCACGGCUUGUGUGUUGGGCCUCCGUCCUCCUCCCGGGGGACGGGCCCGAAAGGCAGCGGCGGCACCGCGUCCGGUCCUCGAGCGUAUGGGGCUUCGUCACCCGCUCUUGUAGGCCCGGUCGGCGCUUGCCGACACAUCAAUCUUUUUUCCAGGUUGACCUCGGAUCAGGUAGGGAUACCCGCUGAACUUAAGCAUAUCAAUAAGCGGAGGA
rnacentral:misc_RNA from 1 species